rnacentral:rRNA from 1 species
GAUGAACGCUAGCGGCAGGCCUAACACAUGCAAGUCGAGGGGCAGCAUAAAACAAGCUUGCUUGUUUGGUGGCGACCGGCGCACGGGUGCGUAACGCGUAUGCAAUCUACCCUGUACUGGGGGAUAGCCCGGAGAAAUUCGGAUUAAGACCCCAUAGCACUUAAGAAUGGCAUCAUUCAUAAGUUAAAGGUUACGGUACAGGAUGGGCAUGCGUCCCAUUAGCUAGAUGGUAAGGUAACGGCUUACCAUGGCAACGAUGGGUAGGGGGCCUGAGAGGGUGGUCCCCCACACUGGUACUGAGACACGGACCAGACUCCUACGGGAGGCAGCAGUGAGGAAUAUUGGUCAAUGGGCGCAAGCCUGAACCAGCCAUGCCGCGUGCAGGAAGACGGUCCUAUGGAUUGUAAAACUGCUUUUUAUUUGGGAAGAAACACCUCUACGUGUAGAGACUUGACGGUACUGUAAGAAUAAGGAUCGGCUAACUCCGUGCCAGCAGCCG